rnacentral:rRNA from 1 species
UCGGAGGUACUCGAGUGGCGAACGGGUGAGUAACACGUGGGCAAUCUGCCCUGCACUUCGGGAUAAGCCUGGGAAACUGGGUCUAAUACCGGAUAGGACCUCAAGACGCAUGUCUUCUGGUGGAAAGUUUUUGCGGUGUGGGAUGGGCCCGCGGCCUAUCAGCUUGUUGGUGGGGUGACGGCCUACCAAGGCGACGACGGGUAGCCGGCCUGAGAGGGUGUCCGGCCACACUGGGACUGAGAUACGGCCCAGACUCCUACGGGAGGCAGCAGUGGGGAAUAUUGCACAAUGGGCGCAAGCCUGAUGCAGCGACGCCGCGUGGGGGAUGACGGCCUUCGGGUUGUAAACCUCUUUCACCAUCGACGAAGGUCCGGGUUUUCUCGGAUUGACGGUAGGUGGAGAAGAAGCACCGGCCAACUACGUGCCAGCAGCCGCGGUAAUACGUAGGGUGCGAGCGUUGUCCGGAAUUACUGGGCGUAAAGAGCUCGUAGGUGGUUUGUCGCGUUGUUCGUGAAAUCUCACGGCUUAACUGUGAGCGUGCGGGCGAUACGGGCAGACUAGAGUACUGCAGGGGAGACUGGAAUUCCUGGUGUAGCGGUGGAAUGCGCAGAUAUCAGGAGGAACACCGGUGGCGAAGGCGGGUCUCUGGGCAGUAACUGACGCUGAGGAGCGAAAGCGUGGGGAGCGAACAGGAUUAGAUACCCUGGUAGUCCACGCCGUAAACGGUGGGUACUAGGUGUGGGUUUCCUUCCUUGGGAUCCGUGCCGUAGCUAACGCAUUAAGUACCCCGCCUGGGGAGUACGGCCGCAAGGCUAAAACUCAAAGGAAUUGACGGGGGCCCGCACAAGCGGCGGAGCAUGUGGAUUAAUUCGAUGCAACGCGAAGAACCUUACCUGGGUUUGACAUGCACAGGACGCGUCUAGAGAUAGGCGUUCCCUUGUGGCCUGUGUGCAGGUGGUGCAUGGCUGUCGUCAGCUCGUGUCGUGAGAUGUUGGGUUAAGUCCCGCAACGAGCGCAACCCUUGUCUCAUGUUGCCAGCGGGUAAUGCCGGGGACUCGUGAGAGACUGCCGGGGUCAACUCGGAGGAAGGUGGGGAUGACGUCAAGUCAUCAUGCCCCUUAUGUCCAGGGCUUCACACAUGCUACAAUGGCCGGUACAAAGGGCUGCGAUGCCGUAAGGUUAAGCGAAUCCUUUUAAAGCCGGUCUCAGUUCGGAUUGGGGUCUGCAACUCGACCCCAUGAAGUCGGAGUCGCUAGUAAUCGCAGAUCAGCAACGCUGCGGUGAAUACGUUCCCGGGCCUUGUACACACCGCCCGUCACGUCAUGAAAGUCGGUAACACCCGAAGCCAGU